rnacentral:rRNA from 1 species
AUUGAACGCUGGCGGCAGGCCUAACACAUGCAAGUCGAACGAGUGGCGGACGGGUGAGUAAUGUCUGGGAAACUGCCCGAUGGAGGGGGAUAACUACUGGAAACGGUAGCUAAUACCGCAUACUAUCAGAUGUGCCCAGAGGGGAUUAGCUAGUAGGUGGGGUAAUGGCUCACCUAGGCGACGAUCCCUAGCUGGUCUGAGAGGAUGACCAGCCACACUGGGACUGAGACACGGUCCAGACUCCUACGGGAGGCAGCAGUGGGGAAUAUUGCACAAUGGGCGCAAGCCUGAUGCAGCCAUGCCGCGUGUAUGAAGAAGGCCUUCGGGUUGUAAAGUACUUUCAGCGGGGAGGCGUUACCGGCAGAAGAAGCACCGGCUAACUCCGUGCCAGCCGCCGCGGUAAUAC